rnacentral:rRNA from 1 species
GAUGAACGCUGGCGGCGUGCCUAAUACAUGCAAGUCGAGCGAACAGACGAGGAGCUUGCUCCUCUGACGUUAGCGGCGGACGGGUGAGUAACACGUGGAUAACCUACCUAUAAGACUGGGAUAACUUCGGGAAACCGGAGCUAAUACCGGAUAAUAUAUUGAACCGCAUGGUUCAAUAGUGAAAGACGGUUUUGCUGUCACUUAUAGAUGGAUCCGCGCCGCAUUAGCUAGUUGGUAAGGUAACGGCUUACCAAGGCAACGAUGCGUAGCCGACCUGAGAGGGUGAUCGGCCACACUGGAGCUGAGACACGGUCCAGACUCCUACGGGAGGCAGCAGUAGGGAAUCUGCCGCAAUGGGCGAAAGCCUGACGGAGCAACGCCGCGUGAAUGAUGAAGGUCUUCGGAUCGUAAAACUCUGUUAUUAGGGAAGAACAAAUGUGUAAGUAACUAUGCACGUCUUGACGGUACCGAAUCAGAAAGCCACGGCUAACUACGUG